rnacentral:rRNA from 1 species
UGGGGAAUAUUGCGCAAUGGGCGAAAGCCUGACGCAGCAACGCCGCGUGGGUGAUGAAGGCCUUCGGGUUGUAAAGCCCUGUCGCCCGGGACGAAUAAGCCGUUUAACAAACGGCCCUGACGGUACCGGGAGAGGAAGCACCGGCUAACUCUGUGCCAGCAGCCGCGGUAAUACAGAGGGUGCCAGCGUUGUUCGGAAUUAUUGGGCGUAAAGGGCGCGUAGGCGGCUCUGUGUGUCGGGUGUGAAAUCCCACCUCUUAAAGGUGGAAUUGCAUUCGAAACUACAGAGCUGGAGUUCCGGAGAGGAUGGUGGAAUUCCUGGUGUAGAGGUGAAAUUCGUAGAUAUCAGGAGGAACACCGGUGGCGAAGGCGGCCAUCUGGACGGAUACUGACGCUGAGGCGCGAAAGCGUGGGGAUCAAACAGGAUUAGAUACCCCCGUAGUCC